rnacentral:lncRNA from 1 species
UUGUCUGUGGGAUCAAGAUGUAGCUCUUUCUCCACUCUCAGCUCCUUUUCUAACACCAUGUCUGCCUGCAUGCUGCUAUGUUCCACCAUAAUGAUAAUGGACUAAACCUCUGAAACUAUACAACAUGGCCGCUCUCUUCAAACUCCUGCCAAACCUUCCUGCCACAUGGACUAUACUCUUAAACUGUGAGCCAAAAUAAACCAUUCCUUCCUUAAGUUGUGUUUGACACAGAAAAAGUAGUGAAUACCCAGACAAAGGUCCCUGGUGCUAUAACCUUCAGUAUGGUGGCACAAGCCUUUAAUCCCAGCACUUGGGAGGCAGAGGUGACAGAUCUUUGUGAGUUCGAGGCCAGCCUGGUCUACAAAGCAAGUCCCAGGACACUGAGGACUAUUACACAGAGAAACCUUGUCUUGAAAAAAUAAAAAAAAUAUUAAUUUA